rnacentral:rRNA from 1 species
GGCUCAGAAUGAACGCUGGCGGCGUGCCUAACACAUGCAAGUUGAGCGGUAAGGCCCCUUCGGGGGUACACGAGCAGCGAACGGGUGAGUAUCGCGUGGGUAAUCUACCCAGAGGUGCGGGAUAGCCUCGGGAAACCGGGGGUAAUACCGCAUGAGUCCUCGACGGCACAAGUCGAUGAGGGGAAAGGCGGGGCUCCUUCGGGACCUGUCGCCUCUGGAUGAGCCCGCGUCCGAUUAGCUUGUUGGCGGGGUAAUGGCCCACCAAGGCAACGAUCGGUAGCCGGCCUGAGAGGGUGAACGGCCACAUUGGGACUGAGACACGGCCCAGACUCCUACGGGAGGCAGCAGUGGGGAAUAUUGGGCAAUGGGGGAAACCCUGACCCAGCGACGCCGCGUGGAGGAUGACGGCCUUCGGGUUGUAAACUCCUGUCAGGUGGGAAGAAAAGCUAUUCGGCUAAUAUCCGAAUGGAAUUGACGGUACCACCAAAGGAAGCCCCGGCUAACUCCGUGCCAGCAGCCGCGGUAAUACGGAGGGGGCAAGCGUUAUUCGGAUUUACUGGGCGUAAAGCGCACGUAGGUGGCAUGGUAAGUCACAGGUGAAAGCCCUCGGCUCAACCGGGGAACUGCCUUUGAAACUGCUUUGCUUGAGUCCGGGAGGGGGGAGCGGAAUUCCCAGUGUAGCGGUGAAAUGCGUAGAUACUGGGAGGAACACCGGUGGCGAAGGCGGCUCCCUGGACCGG